AGAGUUUGAUCCUGGCUCAGAACAAACGCUGGCGGCGUGCCUAAUACAUGCAAGUCGAACGAGGAAGUAUCUUCGGAUAUUGUACUAGUGGCGUACGGGUGAGUAACGCGUGGAUAAUCUUCCUUAAAGUGGGGAAUAACUAGUCGAAAGAUUAGCUAAUACCGCAUAAGACCACAGGGGCUUCGGCUCUAGGGGUUAAAGCCUAACGGCGCUUUAAGAUGAGUCUGCGCCCGAUUAGCUAGUUGGUGAGGUAAAGGCUCACCAAGGCGACGAUCGGUAGCUGGUCUGAGAGGACGGCCAGCCACACUGGGACUGAGACACGGCCCAGACUCCUACGGGAGGCAGCAGUAGGGAAUAUUGCACAAUGGAGGAAACUCUGAUGCAGCGACGCCGCGUGAGUGACGAAGGCCUUCGGGUUGUAAAGCUCUGUUCUCAGGGAAAAAGAAAGUGAUUGUACCUAGAAGAAAGG
rnacentral:rRNA from 1 species